UCCUAAGGCGAUAGCACGUUGAAUGCACCAGUUCCUGAUGGAUCACUGAUGUUAAUCAACGUUGUACGUGGUUGGUAUCUGGAUGGGUGACUAUCUGGACAAUUGCGUGCUGCUUGAU
rnacentral:rRNA from 1 species